CGUAGGGUGCGAGCGUUAAUCGGAAUUACUGGGCGUAAAGCGUGCGCAGGCGGUUAUAUAAGACAGAUGUGAAAUCCCCGGGCUCAACCUGGGAACUGCAUUUGUGACUGUAUAGCUAGAGUACGGCAGAGGGGGAUGGAAUUCCGCGUGUAGCAGUGAAAUGCGUAGAUAUGCGGAGGAACACCGAUGGCGAAGGCAAUCCCCUGGGCCUGUACUGACGCUCAUGCACGAAAGCGUGGGGAGCAAACAGGAUUAGAUACCCUGGUAGUCCACGCCCUAAACGAUGUCAACUGGUUGUUGGGUCUUCACUGACUCAGUAACGAAGCUAACGCGUGAAGUUGACCGCCUGGGGAGCACGGCCGCAAGGUUG
rnacentral:rRNA from 1 species